rnacentral:rRNA from 1 species
UAUCUCUGUAGAGUCUGCAUAUCAAUAAGCGGAGGAAAAGAAACUAACUAGGAUUCCCUCAGUAACGGCGAGUGAAGCGGGAAGAGCUCAAAUCUGAAAUCUUCAAGGUUUUACCUUGACGAAUUGUAGUUUAAAGAAGUGUUUUCUGUUGGAAUUUUGGUAAAAGUUCUUUGGAAAAAGACAUCAAAGAGGGUGAGAAUCCCGUAUUUGACCAUUAUUUCCAGCUUUGUGAUACACUUUCAAAGAGUCGGAUUGUUUGGGAAUGCAGUCCAAAAUGGGUGGUAAAUUUCAUCUAAAGCUAAAUAUUGGCGAGAGACCGAUAGCGAACAAGUACCGUGAGGGAAAGAUGAAAAGAACUUUGAAAAGAGAGUUAAACAGUACGUGAAAUUGUCAAAAGGGAAGCGUUUGACACCAGUGUUGUUUUCUCGAAAAUCAAUUAAAAAAGAUUGGAUUUUGUGUUGUAUUGACUUUAUCAGCUUUCAGCACUCUUUUUCUUGUCUUUUUUAAUGCACUUUUCGUUUAACAAGUCAACAUCAAUUUCUUUUGUUGUAAAAGGGUCAUUGGAAGGUGGCUUUCUUUUCGGAGAAAGUGUUUAUAGCCUUUGACUUCUGCAAUCGGAGAAAUUGAGGUCUGCAGCGUAGAUCCUUCGGGGUUAGAUGCAUUUGUGCUAAGUUAUAGCCUUUCAUAGACAACUUGUUGACUAUGAUCAGUCAUGUAGCUUACUCGCUUAUGUUAUUUUACCUACGCUUAGGAUGUUGAUCUCUCACAGUCGAGC